UACGUAGGGUGCAAGCGUUAAUCGGAAUUACUGGGCGUAAAGCGUGCGCAGGCGGUUAUGUAAGACAGGUGUGAAAUCCCCGGGCUUAACCUGGGAACUGCAUUUGUGACUGCAUCGCUGGAGUGCGGCAGAGGGGGAUGGAAUUCCGCGUGUAGCAGGUGAAAUGCGUAGAGUAUGCGGAGGAACACCGAUGGCGAAGGCAAUCCCCUGGGCCUGCACUGACGCUCAUGCACGAAAGCGUGGGGAGCAAACAGG
rnacentral:rRNA from 1 species